rnacentral:rRNA from 1 species
AUGCGGUGCUUACGUGCAGUCGAACGAUGAACCACUUCGGUGGGGAUUAGUGGCGAACGGGUGAGUAACACGUGGGCAAUCUGCCCUGCACUCUGGGACAAGCCCUGGAAACGGGGUCUAAUACCGGAUACUGAUCCUCGCAGGCAUCUGCGAGGUUCGAAAGCUCCGGCGGUGCAGGAUGAGCCCGCGGCCUAUCAGCUAGUUGGUGAGGUAACGGCUCACCAAGGCGACGACGGGUAGCCGGCCUGAGAGGGCGACCGGCCACACUGGGACUGAGACACGGCCCAGACUCCUACGGGAGGCAGCAGUGGGGAAUAUUGCACAAUGGGCGAAAGCCUGAUGCAGCGACGCCGCGUGAGGGAUGACGGCCUUCGGGUUGUAAACCUCUUUCAGCAGGGAAGAAGCGAAAGUGACGGUACCUGCAGAAGAAGCGCCGGCUAACUACGUGCCAGCAGCCGCGGUAAUACGUAGGGCGCAAGCGUUGUCCGGAAUUAUUGGGCGUAAAGAGCUCGUAGGCGGCUUGUCACGUCGGUUGUGAAAGCCCGGGGCUUAACCCCGGGUCUGCAGUCGAUACGGGCAGGCUAGAGUUCGGUAGGGGAGAUCGGAAUUCCUGGUGUAGCGGUGAAAUGCGCAGAUAUCAGGAGGAACACCGGUGGCGAAGGCGGAUCUCUGGGCCGAUACUGACGCUGAGGAGCGAAAGCGUGGGGAGCGAACAGGAUUAGAUACCCUGGUAGUCCACGCCGUAAACGGUGGGCACUAGGUGUGGGCAACAUUCCACGUUGUCCGUGCCGCAGCUAACGCAUUAAGUGCCCCGCCUGGGGAGUACGGCCGCAAGGCUAAACUCAAAGGAAUUGACGGGGGCCCGCACAAGCGGCGGAGCAUGUGGCUUAAUUCGACGCAACGCGAAGAACCUUACCAAGGCUUGACAUACACGGAAACCCUGGAGACAGGGUCCCCCUUGUGGUCGGUGUACAGGUGGUGCAAGCUUGUCGUCAGCUCG